rnacentral:rRNA from 1 species
UACGUAGGGCGCAAGCGUUAUCCGGAAUUAUUGGGCGUAAAGAGCUCGUAGGCGGUUUGUCGCGUCUGCCGUGAAAGUCCGGGGCUCAACUCCGGAUCUGCGGUGGGUACGGGCAGACUAGAGUGUUGCAGGGGAGACUGGAAUUCCUGGUGUAGCGGUGAAAUGCGCAGAUAUCAGGAGGAACACCGGUGGCGAAGGCGGGUCUCUGGGCAACAACUGACGCUGGGGAGCGAAAGCGUGGGGAGCGAACAGG